rnacentral:rRNA from 1 species
CCUACGGGUGGCAGCAGUGGGGAAUAUUGGACAAUGGGCGAAAGCCUGAUCCAGCCAUGCCGCGUGUGUGAAGAAGGCCUUCGGGUUGUAAAGCACUUUCAGUGGGGAAGAAAGCCUUGGGGCUAAUACCCUCGAGGAAGGACAUCACCCACAGAAGAAGCACCGGCUAACUCCGUGCCAGCAGCCGCGGUAUUACGGAGGGUGCGAGCGUUAAUCGGAAUUACUGGGCGUAAAGCGCGCGUAGGCGGUCUGAUAAGCCGGUUGUGAAAGCCCCGGGCUCAACCUGGGAACGGCAUCCGGAACUGUCAGGCUAGAGUGCAGGAGAGGAAGGUAGAAUUCCCGGUGUAGCGGUGAAAUGCGUAGAGAUCGGGAGGAAUACCAGUGGCGAAGGCGGCCUUCUGGACUGACACUGACGCUGAGGUGCGAAAGCGUGGGUAGCAAACAGGAUUAGAUACCCGUGUAGUC